rnacentral:lncRNA from 1 species
AAGGUAUGUAUAGGUUGAGAGAAGUGAUGGUUGAAAGGGUUGGUGGAUUGGUUUGGAUAGAGAAAAUAUAGUAUCAAGAUUAAACAAACAGUGCUAUGCAGUUGAAAUUCUGCAAUGUAUCUUUCGUUGUAGAGAUGAAAACUUUGUGACGAAAAGUUUAUGCAGUAAUAUAGGAACAAUUUUUUUUUUUUUUGGAUUUUGGGAUAGGGACAACUAAAUUACAGUAGCAGUAAGGUAGGAAAC